rnacentral:rRNA from 1 species
CGGAAUUACUGGGCGUAAAGAGCUCGUAGGCGGUUUGUCACGUCGUCUGUGAAAUCCCUCGGCUUAACCGGGGGCGUGCAGGCGAUACGGGCAGACUUGAGUACUACAGGGGAGACUGGAAUUCCUGGUGUAGCGGUGAAAUGCGCAGAUAUCAGGAGGAACACCGGUGGCGAAGGCGGGUCUCUGGGUAGUAACUGACGCUGAGGAGCGAAAGCAUGGGUAGCGAACAGGAUUAGAUACCCUGGUAGUCCAUGCCGUAAACGGUGGGCGCUAGGUGUGGGGUCCUUCCACGGACUCCGUGCCGUAGCUAACGCAUUAAGCGCCCCGCCUGGGGAGUACGGCCGCAAGGCUAAAACUCAAAGGAAUUGACGGGGGCCCGCACAAGCGGCGGAGCAUGUGGAUUAAUUCGAUGCAACGCGAAGAACCUUACCUAGGCUUGACAUAUACAGGACGACGGCAGAGAUGUCGUUUCCCUUGUGGCUUGUAUACAGGUGGUGCAUGGUUGUCGUCAGCUCGUGUCGUGAGAUGUUGGGUUAAGUCCCGCAACGAGCGCAAACCCUGUCUCAUGUUGCCAGCACGUAAUGGUGGGGACUCGUGAGAGACUGCCGGGGUCAACUCGGAGGAAGGUGGGGAUGACGUCAAAUCAUCAUGCCCCUUAUGUCUAGGGCUUCACACAUGCUACAAUGGCUAGUACAGAGGGCUGCGAUACCGCGAGGUGGAGCGAAUCCCUUAAAGCUGGUCUCAGUUCGGAUUGGGGUCUGCAACUCGACCACAUGAAGUCGGAGUCGCUAGUAAUCGCAGA